rnacentral:rRNA from 1 species
GACGAACGCUGGCGGCGUGCUUAACACAUGCAAGUCGAACGGAAAGGCCCUGCUUUUGUGGGGUGCUCGAGUGGCGAACGGGUGAGUAACACGUGAGUAACCUGCCCUUGACUUUGGGAUAACUUCAGGCAACUUGGGCUAAUACCGGAUAGGAGCUCCUGCUGCAUGGUGGGGGUUGGAAAGUUUCGGCGGUUGGGGAUGGACUCGCGGCUUAUCAGCUUGUUGGUGGGGUAGUGGCUUACCAAGGCUUUGACGGGUAGCCGGCCUGAGAGGGUGACCGGCCACAUUGGGACUGAGAUACGGCCCAGACUACUACGGGAGGCAGCAGUGGGGAAUAUUGCACAAUGGGCGGAAGCCUGAUGCAGCAACGCCGCGUGCGGGAUGACGGCCUUCGGGUUGUAAACCGCUUUCGCCUGUGACGAAGCGUGAGUGACGGUAAUGGGUAAAGAAGCACCGGCUAACUACGUG